rnacentral:rRNA from 1 species
AGUGAACGCUGGCGGUAUGCCUAACACAUGCAAGUCGAACGGCAGCACAGUAAGAGCUUGCUCUUACGGGUGGCGAGUGGCGGACGGGUGAGGAAUACAUCGGACUCUACUUUUUCGUGGGGGAUAACGUAGGGAAACUUACGCUAAUACCGCAUACGACCUACGGGUGAAAGCAGGGGAUCUUCGGACCUUGCGCGAUUGAAUGAGCCGAUGUCGGAGUAGCUAGUUGGCGGGGUAAAGGCCCACCAAGGCGACGAUCCGUAGCUGGUCUGAGAGGCUGGUCGGCGGCACGAGAGGUGGGACACGGUCCAGACUCCUACGGGAGGCAGCAGUGGGGAAUAUUGGACAAUGGGCGCAAGCCUGAUCCAGCCAUACCGCGUGGGUGAAGAAGGCCUUCGGGUUGUGAAGCCCUUUUGUUGGGAAAGAAAAGCAGCAGGUUAAUACCACGCUGUUCUGACGGUACCCAAAGAAUAAGCACCGGCUAACUUCGUG